rnacentral:misc_RNA from 1 species
UCCGUCUUUCCUGAUGACAUAAAGGUGCGUUUGGUUGGUCAUUGUGUUCUUGCCAUUUAGCAAUGAUAGUUGUGACUGUCUUUCUAGUUGUCUUGCAAUGAGAACCUAUCAAUGAAACUAUAUAUAUAUAUAUAGUUUUUUAGCUAUCACACCUGCAGUAUCACACUUUUAAACCUGUAUGUUUAUUGCAGUGACAUUAUUUUUAGAGACAAUCAUUUAUUGCCUUGUAGUCAUGUCAAUAUGUUGAAGGGGGAUAGCUUUUAUUAAAAUCCUUCAGCAGCAUUUGGAGUUCAGUAUUAUUAAUCUAACCCUUAGAAUUGCCCAGCUUAUAUGCACCCCAAUUUGAAAUUGCAGUGGAACUAAUCAAAGGUUAGGCAGCUAUAAUCCUUUUCAUUUAUUUUUAUAUGUUGAGCAUGUCAUUCACAUGCAUUGAUCAUGGUUGGUUUUGUGCCCAGAAGCUUGAAUUUGUGUAGUGUUUGUUCUGUAUAUUUUAGCAAUUUCAUUCAUUCUUUUUUUUUUUUAAUUUUUUUAAUACGCUGAUUUUAUUCUUGAGUACUCGCCAGAAGCAUAUCAUGUUCCCAUUUUGGGUUUGCUCAGCUAUUAUUGAAAUGGAAAUCAUAUUAUUUUAUUCAUUUCAAUAAUCAUUGCCUUUCAUGAUUUGUAUGUUAUGAUAUUUAUGAACAGUUGUUCUACUCUGUUUGAGCAUAUAGAAUAAAUUCAUGGAAGUAUUUGUUUUUUCCCUGUAUCAGUAAAUGGACCACUAUGA